rnacentral:piRNA from 1 species
UAUAUACACAGACAGAUGGAGAGGUAUUGC